GCGAGAUGUUGUAGGACUUCAGUACAACUCUUUCAGUUCAACUCAACAGGUAUCAUCAUGAACACCAUCUUAUCUCUCGCUCUCUGUCUGGCUCUAGUCACUGUUGCUCUAGGAGGUGGAUUAGGUAUGAUGGGUGGAAUGUACAGUCCAUACAUGGGUAUGAUGGGAGGAUACAGUCCAUACAUGAUGGGUGGACUUGGUAUGAUGGGAGGAUACAGCCCAUACAUGAUGGGUGGUAUGGGUAUGUAUGGAGGUGGACUUGGUAUGAUGGGUGGAAUGUACAAUCCAUACAUGAUGAUGGGAGGUCUUGGAGGUCUCGGUAUGAUGACCGGAUACUAAGUAAAAUCCUCAAACAUCUGAUGGGAAGAGAAGAGUCAACAGUCAAGAUAAACUCUGCUAUGAACUAAUUCUCAGAAAUGG